UCAAGACACAGGACUUGGAGGAACUGAUCCGCAUCUGAACUAGAAGCUGCCCCUUAAGGACAGGCUCGCAUAGUAUUGAAAGCAGUCAUGCAGGCUGCCAAGGCGGAAAAGCAAUCAAUAGUCCUAUCCCAGUGUAAGGCCUGAGAACCACAAUGACCAAAAUGGAUUGUUAUCUUGAGAGCACUGCUGAUUGAACCUAGGGCCUCUAGCAGCAAGCUCCAGGCCUAGCCCUGUGACAGAACAAGAGACAAUGAUGGGAAUGAUGAAGAAACUUAAAAGAAAAUCAGGUGUUUGGGCCAAGACUGUCAGAGGAAGCCGAAGGAAAGAGCAAAACUGAGUGUGCUGCAGAUAGAAGAGACACCGAGAAGCAGAAGAGGGAGAAACACAACGCCCAAGAUGCCACGUCUUCAUUGGGCACGGCACAACCCACUCACCAGUUUUCAGGGCAGUUCUUCAAAUCGGCAUCUGCG